UAAACCUUUACUUACACCCCCUCCGCCAGGGUACUACGAGCCCAAACUUAAAACCCAAAGGACUUGACGGUGCCCCAUAUCCACCUAGAGGAGCCUGUCCUAUAAUCGAUGAUCCCCGUUUUACCUCACCACUUCUAGCCUACCAGCCUGUAUACCUCCGUCGUCAGCUCACCGCAUGAGCGCACCAUAGUGAGCACAAUGGCACCCACCAAAACGUCAGGUCAAGGUGCAGCAAAUGAAGCGGGCAGAGAUGGGCUACAUUUUCUCUUUUAGAAAAUUACGGAAGACUACUAUGAAACCCGUCAGAAGGCGGAUUUAGCAGUAAAGCAGAAACCAGAGAGUUCUCUUUAAUAAGGCACAGGGGCGCGUACACACCGCCCGUCGCCCUCUUCGACACCACCACAAAGUUAAUUACUCAAAAUAUAUAAAAAGAAGAGGUAAGUCGUAACAUGGUAAGCAUACCGGAAGGUGUGCUUGGAA
rnacentral:rRNA from 1 species